CAGUCGCCGCGGGAAUACGAGGGGGGCUAGCGUUAAUCGGAAUUACUGGGCGUAAAGCGUGCGCAGGCGGUUAUGUAAGACAGUUGUGAAAUCCCCGGGCUCAACCUGGGAACUGCAUCUGUGACUGCAUAGCUAGAGUACGGUAGAGGGGGAUGGAAUUCCGCGUGUAGCAGUGAAAUGCGUAGAUAUGCGGAGGAACACCGAUGGCGAAGGCAAUCCCCUGGACCUGUACUGACGCUCAUGCACGAAAGCGUGGGGAGCAAACAGGAUUAGAUACCCCUGUAGUCCCUGUCUCUUAUAA
rnacentral:rRNA from 1 species